CGGGCAAUCAAUUUUGGACGAGGCACGUGACCAGCCGAUACCAGGGUCUUUCCUAAAGACCCUGGGAACGAGGUUGUCUAUGCUACUGGCCCCCUCUCUGCACACAAUGUACAGUAUAAGUAUUAUGCUGCCACCCUGGUGGCAAAACUCCUGUUGGAACACGGAUUAAUGCAUACUAACUGUAGAAUAUAUAACAACACAAUGACUUCUGUCCAGACCGUCUUCAUGUUAGACUAUACUCAUGACGUGAAGUAGAGUAAAUAAUAAUAACAUGCACACUAAACCUAUACUGUAUAAACAUCGUGCGCUUUGUUCCAUCAUAUCAUCAACAAUAAAUAAGGAAAAGCGAAUAGAAGUAACGAAGCAUGCAUGAAUACCAUAC